rnacentral:rRNA from 1 species
GCUAGCGUUGCUCGGAAUUACUGGGCGUAAAGGGCGCGUAGGCGGACAGUUUAGUCGGGGGUGAAAGCCCGGGGCUCAACCUCGGAAUUGCCUUCGAUACUGGCUGUCUUGAGUACGGGAGAGGUGUGUGGAACUCCGAGUGUAGAGGUGAAAUUCGUAGAUAUUCGCAAGAACACCAGUGGCGAAGGCGGCUCACUGGCCCGAUACUGACGCUGAGGCACGAAAGCGUGGGGAGCAAACAGG